rnacentral:tmRNA from 1 species
GGGGAUGAUCGGUUUCGACAUUGCCUGCAAAACUGCGAGAAGCGGGUCGAGGAUGCAGGGCUAUCUCGUAAACGCUCCCUGCACAACACAAGUGCCAAUUCCAAGCGCACUGACUUCGCUCUCGCUGCCUAAGCGAAAGCACUAAGAGGUCCGUCGGUCCGGUGAUGCUCUCUAACCGGCAACCGGCGACAGAUAGAGAGAUUGCUGCGCGGUCGUGCCUCAGGGCCGUGUGGGACUCGCACUGUGGCUGGGCCCGUCGACUCAGAUGCCAGGAGCAAGAGUCGGGGCCGAGCAGAACGCCUUUCCUGGCUACACCCGUAGAAGGCGCAGGAUUACAGCAGUGGACCGGGGUUCGAUUCCCCGCAUCUCCACCA